rnacentral:miRNA from 7 species
UGUCUUUUUCCGCUUACUGG